rnacentral:miRNA from 1 species
UUUAAAAUCGGUUAUUUUUAGAAUCGAUUUUGUAUACUACAUACAAAAUCGGUUCUGAAAUAACUGAUUUUAAA